AAAUUGAAGAGUUUGAUCAUGGCUCAGAUUGAACGCUGGCGGCAGGCCUAACACAUGCAAGUCGAGCGGCAGCGGAAAGUAGCUUGCUACUUUGCCGGCGAGCGGCGGACGGGUGAGUAAUGUCUGGGAAACUGCCUGAUGGAGGGGGAUAACUACUGGAAACGGUAGCUAAUACCGCAUAACGUCGCAAGACCAAAGAGGGGGACCUUCGGGCCUCUUGCCAUCAGAUGUGCCCAGAUGGGAUUAGCUAGUAGGUGGGGUAACGGCUCACCUAGGCGACGAUCCCUAGCUGGUCUGAGAGGAUGACCAGCCACACUGGAACUGAGACACGGUCCAGACUCCUACGGGAGGCAGCAGUGGGGAAUAUUGCACAAUGGGCGCAAGCCUGAUGCAGCCAUGCCGCGUGUAUGAAGAAGGCCUUCGGGUUGUAAAGUACUUUCAGCGGGGAGGAAGGCGUUGAGGUUAAUAACCUCAGCGAUUGACGUUACCCGCAGAAGAAGCACCGGCUAACUCCGUGCCAGCAGCCGCGGUAAUACGGAGGGUGCAAGCGUUAAUCGGAAUUACUGGGCGUAAAGCGCACGCAGGCGGUCUG
rnacentral:rRNA from 1 species